rnacentral:rRNA from 1 species
GUAGGUGGCAAGCGUUGUCCGGAAUUAUUGGGCGUAAAGCGCGCGCAGGCGGUCCUUUAAGUCUGAUGUGAAAGCCCACGGCUCAACCGUGGAGGGUCAUUGGAAACUGGAGGACUUGAGUACAGAAGAGGAAAGCGGAAUUCCAAGUGUAGCGGUGAAAUGCGUAGAGAUUUGGAGGAACACCAGUGGCGAAGGCGGCUUUCUGGUCUGUAACUGACGCUGAGGCGCGAAAGCGUGGGAAGCAAACAGGGAUUAGAUACCCUGGUAGUCCACGCCGUAAACGAUGAGUGCUAAGUGUUAGGGGGUUUCCCGCCCCUUAGUGCUGCAGCUAACGCAUUAAGCACUCCGCCUGGGGAGUACGGCCGCAAGGCUG